GUGAAAAAAUAUGAAAAGAAUAUUUUUGUAAAGAAUGGGAACGAAAUAUAGUAUUUUGGAUAACAAGAAUGAAAAAGAAAUUUAAAUUUUUAAAUUUGAAAAAUUAAAAUUCAAAACAACCGUUUUAAUUCAGGUGUAUGGGUGUAGGAACUCUAGGAAGUAGGAACCACGUAUAUUGUAUAUAAUCAGGAAACAAUUCAUUCUCACUCUCACCAACGUUCAGUCCAAUUCUCUGAUCCUCUCACCUAAAAAACCCUAAGUUCGAUUCUCUCUCUCACCGGAGAUUCUCUUUCACCGAAAUCAGUUCUCUCUCACCGGCGACUCCUCAUUCAUGGGUUUGUAGAUCGGCGUUCCCUGCUACGAAGCGAUCACAACGAGUACCAUUUUUCCCUAGAAUUCUUCAUCGUCAAGGUCUGAUAGUUGUUGCUGAAAGUAUGGUGAUGACCAGAUCCAGAUCCAAGGCUUCAAUGCCUGUUGCUGAAAGUGCGGUGACGACCAGAGCCAAACAAGCUUUAAAUUGGAAGAUUGUUGAAACACACAAGAUAAUCUAGGGGAAAAAGAAGUCGCCAACGGCGUAUUAUAGAAGCGAGAUUUUCAUUCAUCUAGUGCAUACGGAUGCUGCUAAUAUUUUUGUGGAAGAAGAUGAAGCUGUGAGAGAGUUUAAGGAGAAACAAAUUCACAGGGAAGAAGAUGAAGAUCUGAGAGAGUUUAAGGAGAUGAAGCAUGCACUGGUAUCAGAAGAUAUUUGGGAUGAAAUUUGGCGUGCUGCAUUUAAGAAAUGGUUUCCAUGACUGUUACUGAACAAGCUCCUUACCAUAUAAAGGCUGCGAGAAAGUAUCAGGAAGUGGCUGAGGCUAUGAAAAGGAGCGUAGAAAAUUGAACGCCCAAUACCGACGAUGGAAAAAUCGUCAAGACAUGAGGAAGAAGAAAGGAAAUUGAAAGAGUGAUGGCAGAGAGUAGAGCUUAGAAUGGCAGACGACUUUUAAUGUUUGCGCUUGAAUAGAACAUAAGAGUUUAUUGUGCUUGUUAAUGCCACUGUUAAUAAAAAAAAAAAACAUUGAUAAUAA